rnacentral:rRNA from 1 species
GACGAACGCUGGCGGCGUGCCUAAUACAUGCAAGUCGAACGCUGAAGGAGUAGCUUCCUGCUCUGGAUGAGUGGCGAACGCGUGAGUAACGCGUAUGUAACCUGCCUUGUAGCUGGGGAUAACUAUUGGAAACGAUAGCUAAUACCGCAUAAGAUUAGAUGUUGCAUGACAUUUGCUUAAAAGUUGCAAUUGCAUCACUACCAUGUGGAGCUGCGGUGUUUUAGCGUGUUGGGGGGGUAACGGCUCACCAAGGCGACGAUACAUAGCCGACCUGAGAGGGUGAGUGGCCACACUGGGACUGGGACAAGGCUCAGACUUCUACGGGAGGCAGCAAGAGGGAAUCUUCGGACAUUGACGGAAGUCUGAACGAGGAACGCCGGGUGAGUGAAGAAGGUUUUCGGGUCGGAAAGCUCUGUUGUAAGGGAAGAACGAGUGUGAGAGUGGAAAGUUCACGCUGUGACGGUAUCUUACCAGAAAGCGACGGCUAACUACGUG